ACGCAGCCACCCAGCAGUCCCCUAAUGAUUUGUCCCUGUUCGUGAUCAUUCGCUGAGGGCACCUGUCCCCUUUGGGUGGUCAGGUUGACUUACCUGCUGCCUCACCGCCCGGGAGGGAGGGGGGUAGUCACACGCAGCACACUGGCACAGCUGCCCCAGUUGGCUAUUCCCAGAUCCCAACCUGAUUAUUUAAAGAGCUCGAAAAUCAGCUUUCACAGCUCAGGAGCAGCAGGGAUGGCUGAUUCAUCAACACGUGGAGUCCCACUGAACACUCAUCAUCAUCUCAACCAGUCUUGAAAACACAAACACAUUCUUUACUCUUAUGGCAAAUUAGUGGCAAUUGCAGUCAUCGACUAGAAGGACCCGACAGUGGAAAGCGGCAGUGUGUCCUGACUCCUGUGUGAUCAUUAACACAUAGAUGGCAUCGCCAUGGACCCCUUGCUUUCCUUCCUGCAUGCUUAUUUACUUCCUGUUAUAGUAUUAAUGGUGUUGUGUGGCAAGGCCUUAUUAUUGUAGUAAGCAGGAACCAACACUAAUCCAAUAUAAUGAGCCAGUGCACUAAUAUGAAUCUGUAAGAGAUGCAAUUAUUGGAAUGGGGGUGGGUAUCACAAGUAGAUUUUACAAAUAAGCCGUUUUCUGCACAACAUUACCAAGAAUAAAAUUCUCCCAAGAAUACUCUAGAA
rnacentral:lncRNA from 1 species